UUUUAAAAAUAAUAGCCAUUAUAGUCUUUCAGUGAUAUGAGCAGUUAUACACACGGGAUAAACUAAUACUGGGCCAUUGUAAAUGGAGGUGAAGUCACCAUUUCAUCUCCAUGGUCUAGACAUUG
rnacentral:snoRNA from 1 species